GGGGAAUUUUCCGCAAUGGGCGAAAGCCUGACGGAGCAAGACCGCGUGGGGGAGGAAAGCCUUUGGGUUGUAAACCCCUUUUCUCAGGGAAGAAGAAAGUGACGGUACCUGAGGAAUCAGCCUCGGCUAACUCCGUGCCAGCAGCCGCGGUAAUACGGAGGAGGCAAGCGUUAUCCGGAAUGAUUGGGCGUAAAGCGUCCGUAGGUGGCUCAUCAAGUCUGCUGUUAAAUCCAGUAGCUUAACUACUGACAAGCAGUGGAAACUGAUGGGCUUGAGUGCGGUAGGGGCAGAGGGAAUUCCUGGUGUAGCGGUGAAAUGCGUAGAGAUCAGGAAGAACACCGGUGGCGAAAGCGCUCUGCUGGGCCGCAACUGACACUCAGGGACGAAAGCUAGGGGAGCGAAAGGGAUUAGAUACCCCUGUAGUCA
rnacentral:rRNA from 1 species